rnacentral:rRNA from 1 species
CCUACGGGAGGCAGCAGUGGGGGAUAUUGCACAAUGGGGGGAACCCUGAUGCAGCGACGCCGCGUGGGUGAAGGAGUGCUUCGGCAUGUAAAGCCCUAUCGGCAGGGAAGAAGCAAGACGGUACCUGACUAAGAAGCCCCGGCUAACUACGUGCCAGCAGCCGCGGUAAUACGUAGGGGGCGAGCGUUAUCCGGAUUCACUGGGUGGAAAGGGAGCGUAGACGGCCAAGCAAGCCAGGUGUGAAAGCCCGGGGCACAACCCCGGGACUGCCCUUGGAACUGCAUGGCUGGAGUGCGGGAGGGGCAGGCGGAAUUCCUGGUGUAGCGGUGAAAUGCGUAGAUAUCAGGAGGAACACCGGCGGCGAAGGCGGCCUGCUGGACCGCGACUGACGUUGAGGCUCGAAAGCGUGGGGAGCGAACAGGAUUAGAUACCCCAGUAGUC